CACGUAGGGGGCGAGCGUUGUCCGGAUUUAUUGGGCGUAAAGAGCUCGUAGGUGGUUCGGUAAGUCAGGUGUGAAACCUCCAGGCUCAACCUGGAGACGCCACUUGAUACUGCUGUGACUGGAGUCCGGUAGGGGAGCGUGGAAUUCCUGGUGUAGCGGUGAAAUGCGCAGAUAUCAGGAGGAACACCAGCGGCGAAGGCGGCGCUCUGGGCCGGUACUGACACUGAGGAGCGAAAGCGUGGGUAGCAAACAGG
rnacentral:rRNA from 1 species